CCCCAAAUUUCGUCUCUUCAUACUUUUCCCCCAAAAAAAUUCUCCUUAAUUUUUUCCCCAAAAUUAGCACCACCGAAAAAAAUUUAGUCAUUCUCUCUGUCUCUUCUCUCUCUCUCUCUCUCUCUCAUAUCUCAUAUCCUGCUAAAUUUUUUCGAAAAUUUUAUUACUUAGGGUUAACUCGUUCGAAUUUUUCUGGGUUUUUUGGUCGAAUUUGGGGUUUGUUUUGCUUGGGUCGAAUAUCAAAAUUCUGGGCCGAAUUGCCACUUGCGGUUCAUCAGGAGUUCGAAAGCUUCCAAUUUGCUCCAAGAAUCUGAUAAUUUCGGGUUCCCGACAAGUUUAGAGGAGUUCCAAUGCGUAAAAUUUCUGGGUCGAAUUCACAUAUUGGGGUUUAUCAGUAGUUCGAAAGCAUCAGAAUUCUGAGCGAAAUUGCCACUUGUGGUUCAUCAGGAGUUCCAAAGCUUCCAAUUUGCUCCAAGAAUCUGAUAAUUUCGAGUUCCUUACGAGUUUAGAGGUACUUGAAGCUCAGCACUAGAACCACUUUUGUUCAAGGCUCACAUGCAGGACAUCGUAUUUUUGUAAAUCUUCCUUCAUUUUGGAUGCAAAGCUUAAAUAUACUACUUAAAAGUACUAUGGGGCACUUUGGAUGCAAAAAUUUUGUAUAGACAAUCUAUAAUAGUUUGGAUGCAAAGUUAGGGAUGAGAUAUACUUUUAUGAAAUUUUGCAAUGCUUAGUUUUUGUAUAUCUGACUCAUUUUAAAGAGAAGUAUUAGAAGUAAUAUAUACAUGUUUUCCCAUUUAUCUUUUUA